rnacentral:rRNA from 1 species
UGUGAGAGUAGAACAUCGCCAGGCUU